rnacentral:rRNA from 1 species
UACGUAGGGUGCAAGCGUUGCCCGGAUUUAUUGGGCGUAAAGGGCGCGUAGGCGGCCACCGCAAGUCGACUGUGAAAUCUCCGGGCUUAACCCGGAAAGGUCAGCCGAUACUGCGGGGCUAGAGUGCAGAAGGGGCAACUGGAAUUCUCGGUGUAGCGGUGAAAUGCGUAGAUAUCGAGAGGAACACCUGCGGCGAAGGCGGGUUGCUGGGCUGACACUGACGCUGAUGCGCGAAAGCUAGGGGAGCGAACGGG